rnacentral:lncRNA from 1 species
UUUUUUUUUUUUUUUUUUUGCUUUUAAGGGCCGCACUUGCAGCAUAUGGAGGUUCCCAGGGGUCUAAUCAGAGCUACAGCCACCGGCCUACGCCAGAGCCACAGCAACGCGGGAUCCGAGCCACGUCUGCAACCUACACCACAGCUCGUGGCAACGCCAGAUCCUUAACCCACUGAGCAAGGCCAGGGAUCAAACCUGCAACCUCAAGGUUCCUAGUCGGAUUUGUUUCCACUGCGCCACAAUGGGAACUCCACAAAGAUGAUUUUCAUUUUGUAUAUAUGGCUAGGAGGAGCAGAAAGGAUAAAGAAGAUUAGGAAGAAGGGAAAAGGAGGAGGAAGAGAUAGGUGGAAGGAAGAGGAGCAGAGAGGAGGGAAGAAGAUGAGGAAGGAGGAGGAGAGAGGAGGAGAAAGGAGGAGCAGAAAAAUUUUAUUAAUCAUUAGGGAGCAGUAUAUUAUAUCCUAUCCAUUCCAUGGAAUUUUCACAGUUUUAAAAUACAGCUAUGAUGACUGUCAAUUUGCCAAAAGGUUUAAAACAUAAUAUGCAGCAUAAAAAGCAGACCAGUUACAUGCAUACAAUGCUUAUAACUAUGUAAAAAGAUAUAUGCUUGUGAGCAUUACUUGGAGGAUAACAUGCAAAAAAAAUUGUUUUAGAUCAUGGGAUUAAGAGUGGAAAGUUAUUCUUUUUUUCCUUUUCCAAAAUGCUUUACUGCUGUUAUAUUGUUUUUGCUAUAAAAUAAAGUGAGGAAAUGGAUCAUUAUAAUUAAUAAACAUGGCUGUGAACCGAAGAUUUAUCUGAGAAUGAUGUUUCAGCUAAAAAAAUUAAUCCUUCAUCAUUCGUUAUUUUAAGCAUGGAUCUUCCCACCCCCGUAUACGAUUUAGUGGCAAGGUAAGGGAGCAUAAGGAAAAGAAAAACAGCCAUAAAAUAUGGGCAGACUCAACUGAGGAAAAGAAGCUGCCAAAAGAGGCUUAAGUGUGCAUCUUAAGAGUACCAGACUGUGAAGCUGGGAAAACAGCAUCCGCUUCUAAGUCUCCCAUGAAAAUGCAAUCAGAAUUGGAAGAUAAGGUGUGUGGAAUAUAAACUAAAAUACAUAAGCAUCUUCCUUAAAGUGGUAGACUUUUCUUUUUGUGUGCCAUUUUUCAAUGAAUGGAUCCCCCAAAUGAUUAAAACCUAAAAUUAGCAUUGUCUAUUUUUCAGCUAACUCCUGCACAGAUUAGGAAUGCAGCAUAGGCUGGAAUUUUGCACCUAGGGCAGAAGGUCUAUUCUUGCCCAAAUACUAUGCAUAGGCUACACUUGAAAAAGGCUUUAUUUAAUGGCCCUUUCUUUUCUGGCUAUUACUAUUCUUAGCAUAAUUCCUCUGGGUUCACUGGGGAUAAGCGCCUCUAGAAGGAAAAAAAAAAAAAAAAAAAAAGGCUGAGACUAGAGGCAAGUGAUUUUUCACCUGGAAUACACUACAAGGAUAGAGAGAGUAGGGUAAUUAUCUUUAGCAAUGAAAUUCUCUUUUGAUAAAGGUGUGGGGGAGGGGCAAUGUGAAGGAAUAAAUAGGUCAGUUCAUUUAUUUCAGCUUCCCUAAGUCAGCAGCCCUUUGACUGUUCUAACACAGGAAUGGGAGCCCUGACAACUCAUGGGUCAGCAGAGCAUAUGUUGUUCAAAUAAAAUCUAUCAAUGCAUUGAGAUAUGGCUAGUCUUCAAAAACCUGUCAUUCCUACAAAAGUGUAACCAGCUCAGCUCCCACCCCUUGGCUGCACUACAUCUCAUUUUAUAUAUAUAUAUAUAUAUAUAUUUUUAAGGGCCACAUCUGCCGGCAUAUGGAGGUUCCAGGGCUAGGGGUCGAAUUGGAGCUAUAGCUGCUGACCUACACCACAACCACAGCAAUGCGGGAUUUGAGCCAUGGCUUUGACCCACACCACAGCUCACGGCAACGCUGGAUCCUUAACCCACUGAGCAAGGCCAGGGAUCAAACCUGUGCCCUCAUGGAUACUAGUCAGAUUCGUCUCCACUGAGCCACAGUGGGAACUCCUGCACUACAUCUCAGUAUCUGCAUUUCACUGACCACUUUUCUUCAGAGCUGGUAUUUGGAACCUGUAAUCCUUUAUAAAAUUGCUCAUCUCCUUGAGCCACAAAUAUUUUUCAAGCACCAGCUGAAAUUAGGGACUAGAGACUAUUAAAAUUGCAAGCUUCCUACUGAGCUACAGCCACUGGUCUAGACUGUAACAGUGUCAGAAUGGGGUCAGGGAGGCCUUUGCACCUGUUCCCUCAUUGCCUGUUGCAUCCAGAUCCCUAAUAUACACACUCUCUUCUCCUCCCUUCCUCUAUCUCCAUUCCCCAACACCAAACACACUCAAACAUACUCUCCUGUGAUCUUACGCUUCUGAGAAAAGCCAUUCCUUCCUUCAAAAUUAUUUGGGAACCCCUAAGACAGAAUAAAAACUACUACAGAGAAACUAUAGACAGAUACUUCCAUGGAUCAAGAGAAGAUAAUAUAUUCAUUGGUAGAUUCAAUGAAAUCCUAAAGAUUAUUGCCAACUGAAAUUCCAAGCAAUUUGGAAUGGGGCCCUUUGAAUAUGAAUUUAUUUAACAGUGAAUUGUGAAGUUGGCAGAAGGGUGAGAGGGCAGGAGCUGAGUUAUAUUAAAUGCACACCUACACCCUCUCAGACAAUCAAACAGGCUGAAGGAGAAUUAAGAUAGUCAUAGAAAAUACAAGAAUAAAAAGUAAGGAACAACAAGUAUUGAAAUGACAACUUAUUCAAGUCAUAGGUGGGAAGUUAUGUGCUCAGAUAACAAACCAAAAAGAGAAAGUAAAGAGAUCUAUUAGAAAGUUAGCCUUCUAUCUCAUAUUUCAACGAAGAAAAAAAAAAGGCCUCUGUAUAGGAGUUCUAUACUCAACGACCCAUGAAUUAAUAUUUUUCACUCUGAGGUGGUUACAGAGAUUCUUUGUUUUGCAGAGUAUUAUGGCACAGUCAAAUGCACAUGGUCUUAGAAUGAAAUCCAUGUUCUUAUUAAUAAAGUGGUUUUCAACCAUGCUGCAUAUUAGAAAUCACCCAGGAGGUUUUCCAACUCUGCCUUCCUGGGCCCCACCCCCAGGUGUUCCAAUUCAUCAGGAGGGGAGUGAAGAGCUAGGUACUUUUUUAUACCCCCUGCGUGAUCCUAACGAACAAGAUGUUAAGAGCAGAUUUCUCAAAGCGUGCUCCCUGUCCCAACAACAUCAGCAUCACCUAGGAACUUCUUAGAAAUGCAAAUUCUGUAGCCCCACUCCAGACUCAAUGAUUCAGAAAAUCUGAGGGUGGAAGCCAGUAAAUUUUUACCAAGUCCUCCCAGGGGUUCUCAUGCAUGCUAAAGUUGGAGAAUGGCUGCCACAGAAAAAUGGUUCUCAAACUUUGGUUUGUAUAAGGAUAACUUGGAGAGAUAAAAUGCAAAUCUGAUUCAGUAAUUUCGAGGUGAGGCCUGAGAUUCAGCAUUCCCAACAUGUUAUCAGUUAUUAAAAUUAUGAGUAGCAAGGUCAUAUAAAUAGACUGUACCACUUUGAUGAAAAAUGGGCAGCAAACUUCAUAUAAACGCAGAUUUCCUGGUCCAAAAAUUCUGGAGUUAGCAUAUGGGAAGUAAGACCCAGAAUUUUAACAAUGCGCAUUUUAACAAGAAGCUGAGGUAAUAUUCUCAGUCUCCUGCCAUCAAUUAUCACUUUCUUUGAUUAAAUGUAUUAAGUACAAUCCUCACUGGUUGCCCAUCC